rnacentral:piRNA from 1 species
AUUGCCAGUAAGCAAGGAGGUGGAUCU